rnacentral:rRNA from 1 species
AUUCCAGCUCCAAGAGCGUAUAUUAAAGUUGUUGCAGUUAAAAAGCUCGUAGUUGGAUUUCUGGUCUAAUGCGCCUGGCCCGCUGCCGUUAGGUAUGUGAGUGCCGGUGCGCGUUUACCAUCCUUCCAGAGAACACUUCUACCAUUUAUUUGGACGGAUGUUGUCUUCUGGAUCUUUUACUUUGAAAAAAUUAGAGUGUUUAAAGCAGGCCUUUGCUGUGAAUACAUUAGCAUGGAAUAAUAAUCUAGGACUUCGGUUCUAUUUUGUUGGUUUCUAGUACUGAAGUAAUGAUUGAUAGGGAUAGUUGGGGGUGCUAGUAUUGGCCGGCCAGAGGUGAAAUUCUUGGAUUCGGUCAAGACUAACUUAUGCGAAAGCAUUCACCAAGGAUGUCUUCAUCA